rnacentral:misc_RNA from 1 species
GAUGAAGAACGUAAUGAAAUGCGAUAAGUAGUGUGAAUUGCAGAAUUCAGUGAAUCAUCGAAUCUUUGAACGCACAUUGCGCCCCUUGGUAUUCCAUGGGGCAUGCCUGUUCGAGCGUCAUUUGUACCUUCAAGCUCUGCUUGGUGUUGGGUGUUUGUCUCGCCUCUGCGUGUAGACUCGCCUCAAAACAAUUGGCAGCCGGCGUAUUGAUUUCGGAGCGCAGUACAUCUCGCGCUUUGCACUCAUAACGACGACGUCCAAAAGUACAUUUUUACACUCUUGACCUCGGAUCAGGUAGGGAUACCCGCUGAACUUAAGCAUAUCAAUAAGCGGAGGA